AUACGUAGGGUGCAAGCGUUAAUCGGAAUUACUGGGCGUAAAGCGUGCGCAGGCGGUUUUUUAAGACAGGGGUGAAAUCCCCGGGCUCAAACUGGGAACUGCCAUUGUGACUGCAAGGCUGGAGUGGGGCAGAGGGGGAUGGAAUUCCGCGGGGAGCAGUGAAAUGCGUAGAUAUGCGGAGGAACACCGAUGGCGAAGGCAAUCCCCUGGGCCUGCACUGACGCUCAUGCACGAAAGCGUGGGGAGCAAACAGGAUUAGAUACCCUGGUAGUCCACGCCCUAAACGAUGUCAACUGGUUGUUGGGGAUUUAUUUUCUCAGUAACGAAGCUAACGCGUGAAGUUGACCGCCUGGGGAGUACGGCCGCAAGGUUAAAACUCAAAGGAAUUGACGGGG
rnacentral:rRNA from 1 species